rnacentral:lncRNA from 1 species
GAGCCAGUGCCAAAGAAAAUGUAUCUAGGUAGUCCUUAUGAACAUCCUUGCUCCUCUGCCAGGGGUUGGUUGGGAGGCAGCUCCCAGGAAAGAGGUCAGUAAUGGAACAGAAGUGUUCCACCUGAAAGUGGGAGCACUGCUGGAAGGGGUGAGAUGCUCUUUCCAGUCCCUAACAGCAGAACUGCUGCUUUGUUCAGUCAGUCACCUGCAUUUCAUACAGUUCAUGUCCUGUUAGAUUCUGACUCCUGAGGAAACUCAGAUGCUGCUCAGCAGUAAUGUGGAGAGUAUGUCCUGUGCUUUGGGGGGUGCAUAGCAGCUGGGCUGUGGCUUUUCCUCCUUCAAUCACCUGAGGCAUUAGAAUGGCUUUCCAGCUGCUCAAAACCACCAAAAAUUGGCACUGUGGAAAUAAAGAUGUUGCACAGAGGGGCAAUGGUUACCAGCAUAAAAGUGUACCUAAGAUGCAUACAGUGCUAUGGCACUGUGUGUGUAUGAACGCCCUAGAUCUCUGUAAAAGUAAAAAAACCAAAACCCAUAAACUGAGAUUAUACUUCAACAAGAGAAGUCAUGGCUUCACUAAGUGGAAGUAAAUUAAAUUAUACUGCAUAAAGGCUUUAGCACAUGUGCACAUCAGCUCCACACAGCCACCUUCUGCUAUAGGAAGAAAUAAAAAGCACCCCAGUGGUGGAUAAAACAGGUUAGUGCCUCAGGGGAGCUGUCAGCCUGUGGGGGGAGGAGGCACGAUCACAUCAAACCCCUCCUGAAGUAAGGUGGCAUGGCAGCCCAAGAGGUGGUUGCAGAGCAAUGAUGAGGGAAAGAAGGGCAUUACCUGCUGUCAGCUCCUGACUCCAUGGAUGUGCUUUAUUCCUGCCCCUGGCUUCCCUUAUUCUACCACCACGCAAGGCACUGGGAUGUUCCAUGAGUGCUCCCUGCUAUAUUUUAGAAGUUGGAUGCUUCUAAGCAUAGUCUGUAGCAGCCCCUGCUGCCCUUGUCUCCUCACCUUUGCUUCAGGCAAGGGAGAGAAAAGAAUCCCACAGAACUUCCUUGAGCAUUCCUUGAUGGUUGCAAAAUCCUUUUAUUGAAGAGGGAUGUUAUUUUGAAAGUGUACAAAAGUCCAAAGUGAGAAAUGGGAUCCGUUCCUAUUGCACUCUGCAGCCAACCUGCAUGGAGCUGCUGAUUGCUGACCCUGAAAAGGAGUGACUGCCAGCUGUACACAGAAGCAGCGUCACUUUGGUGGUGCCACCUCAUACAGCUAAUGUCAAGACAGUGUGCAGCCAACACACUGAGAAUUCCUCUGAAGUGCUAUAAAAUUCCCUUAAGAGUAGCUGGCUUUAAGCAGCUCUUUGCCAGACCUCAGAAAAACCAAGCAGCAGCAUCCAGGUACACAGCUACAGAAUAUGGUGCUGCUGUUGACGUGUUCUUUUGCUGACAUCAACAAGGUGUAGGGGGGGCGGGUACAGGAUAGUCUUCUGCAACUCAGCAUAAUGCAGAGCCUGUCCUACUGUAGCAGUAGUCAGCCUUGGUACGGCCUUAUGCCCUUUUUCUUCCUCAGUGCUUCUACACAUACUUAACUCUUGAGAAAUGCCUGCCUCUAUGCUCGUUGCUCAGCUUGAAGGCUACUUGUAGGCACAUCUGGUUGUCGAGAUGGUGUUUGUUCUGUUUUUCUACUACAGCUGACAGCAGUCAGCUACCACUGUUUGCAGCUGCCACUACAUCAAGCAGUUUAGGUGCUGUAACCCUAAACAUCACAAACCAGCAGCGUGACAAAGGAAGUAGUACUAUUUCAUUAUUAUUGCAGUCUUCACACUUGUCUGUUAGCAGUGCAUUUAACAAGCAGCAGUACACGAACCCAGCACAGGAAUUUCUAGGGAGCUACAGCAGUCCCUCCCUCUGCUGCAUUCCACAGUUCAGGAGAUCUGAAAAGCCCUUCUUUCAGGGGAAGUACCCACUUCUUCCUGCAGUAAUACAUUUAAGCCACAGCAUUCUGUGCUGAUCCAGAACUGGAUCAACGAGUCUCCCUUUUUAAGGGCUUUGGGUUAAAGUCUAAGCAAAUCCUUUCCUGCUCAGACAAGACCAACUGCCUCAGCAAACUCUCACUCAAAACAUAAAUUGGUUUAAACUCAAUUCUAAGAACAGAUGCUUUCAGACAUUAUUAUUGAAAGCAGCAGCUGUGGAGCAGUUUUGUGACCAAAACCCCUUACUGCCAACGUACGGUUUCACAGAAAGAUGUGCUCUUCUACUUGGUUUCUGUUCCUCCUGCAAAUUUUGCCAUAUUCCUGUUUCCUACUGCAAGGCGUGCUGUUAUCAGCAGGCCAGCUCUCUGCAAACUGUCAGAAUAAAAACCCACUCCAGCCAAUACCAUCACUGCCAACUUGCUCUUCCAGAGAUCAGCACCAUAUUCUGAGAUAACAAAUACAUGAAGACACUGAUGUUACCCGGUCUAUUGUCAGGCUCUAACGACGCAGGCUGCGUCUUUACAGAAAGCCGUUCCCGCAUUACUGCGUGGUCACAAGCUUUACAAUCAUACCAAUGAUCCGAGACCCGCGGGGGCACAUGCAUAAAUCCAUGCUGGGAUUCUUGAUUUUAUCCUGCAGCAACUGGUCGAGUUCACAGCGCAGCUCUUUCACCAGCUCAGCCACCUGGCACGUACAGUACAACACACACGUGAGCGCAAAGCUCCUGAAAUGCACCUCCUCCCCCCUUUCAAACACGGGCACACGCACAGAGCUCUGCAGCGUGCCCAGCAUUAUCCCUUGUCAUUACCUGGUGAGAGGCUGCCACAAACCGUAUCCACCCGUCAUCGAGGGAAAUGACAAACUCGCCCUUCUGUAGCUGCAUGUGAACCUGCCCGCCUCCCAGCAGGACCAGUGGGUACACUGACACCAUGCUGCAGUCUCGAAUGAACACGCGGCUGGUCUUAAUCUUCUCGUGGUACACCAGGUAGGGGCUCUCAAAGUGCCUGGUCUGCAGUGGUAGAGCCCAAAAGACUGUGGUUAAACACAAAGAACACGUAUACCUCCCUCCUUACAGCAUCCCGCUUGUAGCCCGCUCAGGCAAAUAUGAGAUUGCAUGCAAGAGCUGCAAGGAACAGCAAACAUACCCGCGCAUUUUGCAGACUCUUCAAGCCAUGACAGCUGCCCUCAACUUUGCCAGUUAUCCCUGCUCCUACCCCCUCUGCAGUGAGCUUGUCACACAUCAGCUGAUAACCAACUUCACUUCAAGGCCCCCAGCUCUCUUUUCCACACUACAGAUUUUCAUGUACAUACUUGUUACGCUCUUCUAAAAGCAAGUGACUGAACAGUGCAAAGCCUUUAAAGCCUCAUUUGCAGUUAAUGAUAAGAGCCCCACACUUAAAGCAAGUAAUUUACUACCUGGAAAAGCACAGAAUCAUCAAAUAUGGAGGCAAACCCCAUUAGAAAAGUGCUACCAUCUAUCGCGGUACGGAGAAGAGCUCUUAUCUAAAAAUGAUUAUUAAGGCAGCCUGUAUGUACAAAGACACUGCAUGCACACUAUCUUAAGAGCAAGGAGAAGCUGGGAGUGCCACAACUGCGUGUGUGUGUGCAGCUUUGUAGACACAGCAAAACAUUGACGGGGGGUCACUUCGUCUUCUAAUUCCACUUCAAAGGGCGGAGUUUAACUCUGUGCUCACGAGCAGUGCACCCUUAUUUAUCAACAGGGAAACUUCAAUCACCAAGCAUUUUUUUUCCUUAAGCUUCAAAAGGGUCCCUCACUUCUCAUCUGUUCAGGGAAAGGCGAUUUCUUUUUUAAGAAAAGAACGUUUGUUUGAAGGAAAAGAAAAAGAAUCCUGACCUGAUAAUUCACAGAUGAAGGGUGAAUGUGAACAUAACCAUCAUUUUUUGUGACAAACUUCAGCUCUUCCGCUUUUGGCUGCAUUUUGACAGCUCCUGUGCUGGUCUUCUGAUAUUUGCCCUCUGGCUUUUUCACCUGUAUGGUGCAAGACAAAAAGUUACAAAAAUCUGCUGUACCCGAAUACUGAAUUCACUGUUAGAACUUAGGUUUUAUCAUCAGCAGAUUCUCAAGUAGUAAACAAGUCUCUAGAGGCAGAUGCUAUACUGCAGGUACUGCCUAAACACCAACAUUUCAUUUGUAGCCACUGUCUUCUAAAGAGUUGUAAUUUACAGUAGGUUCUUAAAAACAUUUGGCAUUUCUGUGGCACUAAAAAACUGUAGGAACAGCAGUGCUACCGAGCAGUACAAACAGGAGUUGGGCAACCUGGCUCUGGCACAACAAGCAGCAAGCUUUGGCAACCUAAAGCAGGCUGCAGUCCACCACAGUCAGGCCGUGCUGAACACGGGCAGUGCGGACAUGCUGCGUAACAACAGCGUUCCCAAUGGAGUGCAUCAAAGAGUGAGAAGGCAUUCUUUUACCUGGACAACGUUGGGAUACAGCGCAGCACACAACAUGGCUGAGAUCAGCUUGAAGUUCUCCGCAUUUGAAUUUGCCUAUAAAUUAACAGACACAUUAGGUAUCCUACAGGUAGGGCAAAAGACAAAGCCCUGCUUCUGGAAUGAAUCCACUGCUGAAACCGGUUUCCUUUCAUAGCUGCACUGCUGUGUUUUACAGAGAAGGACCAGUUACUGGUCCUGAAGUCUCAGACUAGAUGGAAGUGCUGCCCGAUAGCUGUUUGGAGCAAACUGGACACCAGCUAUCUAAUUGUUCCCAUGUCUGGCUACAAAGCAUGGAAAGAAAGCAUGUUGUUCCAGCACACAGGGAGACCCUGCAGCUAGCAAGCCCUUCCACAUAGCUGAGCCAGGAGAUCUCUGGCUCGGCAGGUACUGCUUUCUGAGGAUUGUCUGCAAUGCUGAAGUAUUUCACUACCUGCUCUGUAAAACAGUUUCAUUCCCAAAAAUAAAGCAUGCACUAAUGCCAACAUUCGGUGCAGUCUGUGAAUCGGACCUGUAUUUUUCCAUCACUUGCUGCUAGCACGUGUGCCAGCCCAACAGCGUUUCGCUUUCUCAGAACACGGUGCUGUGUCAGUCUCACCUCCACACCCGGUCCUGUUCUUGAGCACAUACACUCUGAAGUAACGGAAGCUAAUACCAUACAGGGAAGAAAAAUGUAACAGGCAGGAGGUGGUUUGUUGCAAGGCUGUGUCCAGAAGCCCACCAGGCUAGAGCUAACAGCUGGCAUUCCGGCCGCAUCAAAAGCUGCAGCAUCUGCUCAAAGCACUGACAUGCUGCAGAUUACCUCUUCUCCUGUGGCAUCCAAGACACCAUCGCCUCCCUGGGACCACUUCCUCUCAAUGUCCCUGGCUCUUAACCCCUCCUUCACAAACCCGAUGUCGGAAAGCAGCUCCGUGAACUGUCUUUUCAGACUGGCAAUUUCCUGCAGAACUCUUCCCGAUAAGAAGUUCUCCCUGCAAUAGUUGUAGCUUGCCUGAGAGCCCUCUUUGGUACUUAAACGCCAUCCCUUAUAUGCCUGGAGAAGAGCCAGAUAGUCGCUGUUCCCUACUGCGAAGUCCAACUUCUUUUUGUUUGCUUCUUCCCUUUUAUCCCAUGGGGACACCUAGAAAGGCAGGAGCAGAUUAAUCUCACAGUGUAACUGCUGCUUCUAUUCGCUUUCAAUUUUUACACUAAAUCUGGACAAAACAGGCUGGCUGCACUUAAUGUUCAUUAACUGUAAUAACUGAAUUGUUUCAAUGCUUGCUUAUAAAUACUAUUUGUGUCACUGCUACAUGAUUUUCGCCAUCUGCUUGUAACGACUCUUCUGAUGAGCGCUGCGUUAAGCAUAUAAACAGGGGAGGCUAAAAAGGAGAACAAAAACACUCAGGUGCAGCAUGCUGCAGUUUACAGCAGCAUUCACUGCUGAAUGAAAAUGUACUGCUUUCAAAGCUAGAAACGUGAUUAAGAAUACUUACAAAGGGUGACUUAAAAGCCAGACUGGCUGCUAUUGUGAGUGCAGGAUCCAGGCAGCGGAAGAUGGUGCCAAACAGCAUUAGUUUGCCAAUCCUGACAUCAACAGGCAGGGAAGCCAAGUGAUAUCCCAGAGGAGUGAGCUUUUCAUCUGCAGUUAAUGCUCCUAAGUCUUGUAGACGCAGCUUUGAUGCCCGCAAAGAUUCAGUUCUAGGGGGCUCAAUGAGUCGUGAUAAGACAGAAUGAAGGCUCUGUGCAGAAAACAUCUCCAGAAUCUUAAUUCUUAAGGAGGGGACAAAAAAAUUGAAAGGAAAAGAAGGCAGCUUAGUUCCACAGACAGGAUGCCAAGCAUUUAUCAGAAAUACAGAAAAUCUACUUUCAAGAACACGGCCCCUUGAAGAGGUUCUGUAAAGCGAUUAAACUCAGGAAACUAUAUGAGGAUGGCUUACCUCCACCCAGCCUCACCAUCAGGAAUAACAGAUUCUUAUUUAUCACACGGGGUUUUAAAACGAAGUUUUCUCUGAAAAAAAUAUUUUUUUGUUUGUUUUGUUUAUUUUUUUGUAUAAAGGGGUGCACAGAGCAAGGCAGGAGCAAAAAGGCCUCUUCAUUUAGUAUUGGUGUUACGGCAGUGCUGGAUCUAGGUUGGAGACUUAUUGCACUGUGUUGCCCAGCAGGCAAAAUUCUCUAUGCCCUAUGCAAAGGGAGAAUUUGGCAUAGAGAGAUAAACAUCUCCUGUGGGUGCAGAGCACAGGAAUGCAAGUAUCUUCUCAGGGUGUGAGAGACCUUUUAUCCUAGUGCCAAACAAGAGCCAAGCACUGUGCAAGAAGACAGGGAGACGUGAGACAUGGUAUGAUUAGAUCUCUGGAUGCAGAGGGACUGUGACAGUGAGAUCAAGAGAACCUGAAACCUCCAAAGCGAGGUUCUUGGUUCUGUGAUGCUACUGAGGGAACUAAAUUCCUUAAUAAGGGCAUUUCAGAUGCUUCCUGCUGUGGAGGGAGGACAUUCUACACUGGGUCUUUCAGGUAAUAUAUAAACAACAGCUCACCUUAGACAAAGCUGCUCCAAGGGCACUCUUUGUAUUUCUGGUAACUGCUGUUUUAUGAGCUGAUGGUUAUAGUGAUGGCUACUGAAAAGAUGGAAGCAGACACCUGAGGCUACACGGCCUGCUCGUCCUUUUCUUUGCAGAGCAUUGGCCCUGGACACAAACGUGUCUUCCAGACUUUCCAUUCCUUUGCUCGGGUCAUAUCUGCAGGGGAGCAAGAAAUAGACUUAUAAUGGGUGCAGGGUGAACAAGCAGGAGCUCAAGCAGACAGAUGCUGCCAACCUCUACACGGACCCAAUUCCCACCCCUGCAGCUGGAUCUGGGUGCAGACCGGCCCCCCCACCUCCUAAAAGGUUUCUGCAGAUCAAGCUCCUUCAGGUUCCUCCCAGCUCUUUGCACAGAGCAGGAACGAAUCCCAGUACCUUUUCUCUUUCAUUUUUCCGGAAUCAAUCACAUAGACCACAUCAUCAAUGGUGACAGAUGUUUCUGCAAUGUUGGUGGAGAUGAUGAUUUUGAUAACUCCUGCAGGAGGCCGGAGGAACACAGACUGCUGUUCUUCACUGGACAGCGAAGAAUGAAGUGGAUAAACAACGCACCUGGAGGAAAAGUAUGAGAGUAUGCUCAGCACGUCUCUGCUUUUUUCCUCCUGGGAACAGUCUGCCUGUGUGCACUUUUGCACUGCCAGUACCAGACACUGCACACAGCCAUUCAAAUUUGUGUAAAAUACGGCAAACUUCACUGCCAUAGCAACUUUAAGACAUGUCCUAUAGGAAGGUGGAGAAGUUUGCCGAAGGAACAGGUCUCAGAAUGGAGCUGAAAAAAAAAACCCAACCCUGUCUCCUGUGAACAGCCUAGAACAUUCAAUUUAUAAUGCCACAUUGGAAAAGAUCACUCCAGACAACUUUCUUAAAGGCAUCUGUGUGACUACUGUUUAGUCAAGGAGAACCAGUUACAUCUCCACGUAGCAAUCUGUGAUCAAAUACAACCACAGGAACAGCUGAAGGCUUUUCAGGAGACCUUCUGAAAGACAACAAUAGCUGAGGUGAAGUUUUCAACAGUCCACUGGGCCACGCAGAGCACAAAGUGGAGAAACUCAUCACUAGGAUUUCUGAGAACUACCACAGCUAACAAAAUUGACACCUUUCGAACUUCUGAGAUGAGAAGAAAAACCAAACAGAGCAAGUCAGUAAGAUGGUAGAAUGGGAAUUACCUUGACUGGGUCACAUCACAAACUCACACGUUUAAUAAACUUAAUUUGUCCCUUGAUAAAGGCAGACUUUGUGCUGGAAGCUGCUCUUUUUUUUUUUUAAAUGGGUAAAGACAUCACCUGGGAGCUUUUGUGCCUUACCUCUUGCUGUGCCUGUUAUUAAAAAGGGCGUUAGACUGGAGCUGCUCAUAAAGCAUCUUGAUUUCUGCUAGACCAGGCAAAAAUAUCAACACAGCACCUAAAUAUGUCAAUCAAGAAAAAUAAUAAUCACUCAACAGAAACGACAGCAGGAUACGUUAUUAAUGUGCAAAAGGCCAAGGCAAAACUCCAGCUCUGUUCUGCAGUUCUUGUACAAAAAGCAUACAGGCUGCAACAAUUUCUCACUAAAGACUUUCCCAGGUAGACAAUUCUCAUCUUACCCCAUCCUAUCAGGGGUUUUGUUACUCAGAACUCUGAACACAAAACGUUAUCCUGAGGCUGUCUACAAGUGCACAAUCUCUGUGAAUCGACCUCCAUUCAUCUCAGUGUGAGAUACCUGGGGGGUAUGAAUGUUUGCCAUCAACUAUCCACUCCAGCAAGGCUUCAAUUAAUUCCAGAUUAACUUUGUCCAAGUCCAUGACAGACAUUGUUUUCAACACUGUCUUGUUAACCCCUGAGGAAAAAGAAAGAAACAACACAGUUAAGUUCAUCUCUCAUAAAAUACACGUGCUGGAUACAGCCAACCAGCGUGGCUGCGUAAACAUGCACAACUCAGCCUAAACAGCACCUGGUUUAUACCAGGCAGAGGCAGCUUCACAAGUCACUCUGGCCCAGCUCUUCUUUUCUCAUACCUUAUCAGGGUUCACAUUUGCCCUGUAUAGAACCUAGACCAGGAUUUAUCUGUGAGCAUACUAAUAGUAGGAGGAGCUGAAAGCAGUUGACACAAUAGAAGGAAGGGAUGCCAUCCAAAGGGACCUGGACAGGCUCAAGAAGUGGGCCCACAUGAACCUAAUGAGGUUCCACAAGGCCAAGUGCACAGUGUUGCACUUAGGCAGGAGCAAUCCCAGAUAUGUGUACAGACUGGGAGAAGAACUCACUGAGAGCAGCGCUGCAGAGAAGGACCUGGAGGGUCCUAGUGGACCAAAGCUGGACAUGAGCCAGCUGUGCGCUUGCAGCCACAAGGCCAGCAGUAUCAUGGGCUGCAUCAAUGGAGCGGUGGCAGCAGGGAGAAGGAAGGGAUUGUCCCUUCUUCUCCUAUGAAGAAAGGCUGAGGGAGCUGGGCUUGUUCAGCCUGGAGUAGAGAAGGCUCCAGGGAGAUCUCACUGCAGCCUUCCAGUACUUGAGGGGAGCUUAUAAGCAGGAGGGAGAUCUAUUUUUACAUGAUCUGAUAGUGACAGGACAAGGGAGGAUGGCUUUAAGCUAAAGGGGAUUUUUUCCACUCACAGGACAGCAAAGCCCUGGCACAGCUGCCCAAAGAAGCUGUGGUGCCCCAUCCCUGGAGGCACUCCAGGCCAAGUUGGAUGUGGCCCUGGGCAGUCUAAGCUGGGGGGGGGCAGCCCUGCCCACGGCUGGGGGGUGAAAUAGAUGAUCUUUAAGGUCCCUUUCAACCCAGGCCAUUCUAUGAUUCCUUGAUUUACUGACACCUUUUCAGGCUCUCCCUUCUUCCUUCCAAUGUUUCUUACAUCAACUCAAAAACAGACCAACCCCACUACCCUUUGGAGAUACUAAACCUCCAGCAUGAAUGAGCAAUUGAGAGCAAUGACUCUCACUCACUGCCACUGGGGAGCUCACCAGGAGGGCAUGAAGGUGUGCAGGAAGGAGACAAAGCACAGGGAGUAUUUUGAUGUUGAGAGAGGGGGGAGUUAAUGGGAAGGUCUGCCCACUUCACUAUGCCUUUCACAAUGACAUGUCUUCUCAAGGAAGACUUGUGAUGCUGAAGUGAUCUCGAUCCUCGAGGCAGAUGCAUGCUAAGCAUUAUGUAAAGCUGUUCUAGCAAGAACAGGUAAAGAGAUGAAACUCAAAGUCAACAAGUUAUCCAAAAAUAGAUGGAAAUAAGACAGUAGCUGAAAACCACCCCUUUUCAGAUGCUUAAAAACUGCUUGCAGUCCAGAUGUUUGUUAUAGUUUAAGAAAAUGGAGUUUUUCUUUUUUGUUUUGUUUUUCAAAGCUCACAACGUUUCUCAUCUCAUCUAGAAUGCAGCAAGCUGCUUAACAGCAGAACACUAAAGAAUUCUGAAUUGCACACCUGCAUUCAACAUACAGUAUUAUAUGUUAGCAUAAUAUGUUGGCUUACAAAUCUUAUGUGCAGACCUACUAGAUUUAAGAAGGGGAUCACCUUUGUAUCGUUUAAGUAGCUGCUUCAGAGUUAAUUUUUGAUCUGGGUCUGAAUCCUUGACAGCUGUGUCAGUGUCUUCCAGCAAGCCAGCAUGCCUCAGGUCCUCCUCCACUUCUUCAAAUGCAGUUCUUUUGUGUCUUGCAGUCACUUUGUUUUCUUGCUUUGUCUUGCGCCUGUAGGGACUGCUGUCCUCCAAAACAUACCUGAACAGCAGAAGAACGGACAUCCUUCAAGUGGCACAGAACGAAGCCCAACAGUCUCCAUCCAAUAAUUAGCUACACAGACAGGUUAUCACAGCUAUACAAAGUUCCUCUCAGAUUUGUAUGUAAUUAUAUUUCACACUCGCUGCAAUUCACGUUACUGCUCCAACUCCACUGUAAGGACCAGUAAAGCAGUACUUCUGAAAGGGUGGAAGGGCAUGGCAAAGAGAGCUGUUAAGGCCCAGCACAACUCAAGUUAUUGAGCAACUCUGACUUUAGUGCAAGGGAGUUCCAGAAUAAACUGUGGCCAAGCAAGUGCAAUCACCUGCACCACACCUCUCCCACAUUAACAAGUCAUCAGUGCUGAAAGUUUUAGCCAGCUUUGGGGUGAAGGGAGAGGUGUCCUGCCAUACUGGGAUGAUGGUCUUUUAAAAGCUGUAAUGAGAAACACCUGGACUGCAAAUGUGACCUAAACUAAGAGAGCAGCACAGAGCAACAAUCUGCAUAUAAUUUAAAACAGCUGAUAGCAUUGCUAUCUGGAAUAUCUGAGCUGCUACGACUCUCCAAGUAGCUACAGAUGAUAGCAGGAAUCUUUGUCUCACUUUCUGCUGCAAGGUAGGGCUUACAGAAAGGAAAUCCUACCAUUUUUCACCUUCAGUGAAGGAAUCUAACAACUUUUGCUUGCCAUCAUCUAACCACCACUGAAACAAACAAGGGGUGGAUGAGGAACUAAGUCUGUCAGUACACAAGCACUAACCAACUGUUCAUGGCAAAGUUCAUUUCUUCUUGAGUAUUUACAUGGUAUCUAAUUCAGAAAAGGUUUUGGCACAGUACUGUAGACCCCACAGUGGUAUAAGAAGCACCUUUUACAGUCAGUGCUUUAGCAGAACUCCAGGCCUUCUAGUAAUGGGGAUAUCUGAGAGUCUCUCUCUUUUUUUCAAUUUAUGCACAGGUCUUGUGCAGUCAACAGUGCAACUUUAAGUGUCAAACAUAUCUGAGACAGUCUGGCAAUUUCAUACCUUGUCAUUGCAAUCACAUCUUCCAGGAAAAACUGAUCUACAGGAAACGUUCGACCUAAAAGGGAAUGUAAGAAAGUAAAUCUAUGUGCCACAGAAGUGAGAAAAGACAAAAGAUGGCAAUUAUGUCACACUGCUUAUUAUUUCACAUACUGGCUUCACCACUUUAAUCCCUAAUCCACCUCUGUGACCUAAAAAACCUAACAUGGGUCUCUCAUCUAUAUCCAUCUGUGUUCUUCAACAUUAUUUCUGUCUAAAACAGCAGAUGUUUUCCAAGCGUGGUUUGGUAACACACGUGUAUAUGGUCAGAGAAGGGCUGCUACCCUUACAGGAAGUUUAAGGUGUGGUAAAAGCAGCUCAAGGAAGCACGCCAUGCAUGUCUUGUCAUUUCUGGCUUUUAGGGAGGGAAAUUCUGCUGGUAGAAGGAAAGCAUCAAGAAGACUCAGUUUCCAAGACUUCUCUGAUAGAUCUCAUUAGCUUUUCUGUUUAAGACCUUGUAAUUGCAGUUAUUGUAGAAAUCCACAUCUUGCAACUACAGAAAGUUAGCCCUUUGCUUAGAAGCCGAGUUAAAACCAUCUUUUUCCCAUUCAACAUUGAUGUACCCAGGAAUACAGAAACACUUCACAAGCAGAAAAACCAAACCCAAAUCUCUAAAGCAACGAAUAUUGACAAGAUAAUAAAAAUGACUGUUUUCACCUGGUAUGUUAAUAAUUGGACAGGAGUGAAAGUACUGAGAAAAAAGCUCUGCAUUCAAGGUGGCGCUCAUUAGGAUGAUGCGCAGGUCUGGCCUCUGAACCAUUAUAUCCUUCAAAACCAGCAGCAAGAAGUCACUUUCUUCUGUUCUUUCAUGAACCUCAUCAACAAUAACGUGUGUAAUUCCCUGUAAAGUCAGAUCACCUUCAAGCCUUCUCAGCAGCACACCAGUGGUGCAAUACAGCAGUCUGGUAGCUGAGGACUUUACACUUUCUAGGCGGAUCUGAUAGCCAACAGUAACUCCAACCCUUUCUGUUCUCUCUUUGGCUACACGCUCAGCCACAGAAAUGGCAGAGAUCCUGCGAGGCUGAGUACAGAUGAUGUUUGCAACUGCGUUUGGAGAACCUUGCAAUGAGGCAUCCAAAAUAAACUGAGGAAUCUGAGUGGUUUUCCCACACCUGCAUGACAAAAAAAAAAAAAAAAAAUCAGGCAUCAAUUGAAACACAAUGACAAGAAACAAAACUCAACAAAAGGCAAACACCUUCCAUCCACAUAAACUGACUGCAGUCCACCUGCAACCUGCUUUGUUCCAUUAAUGUCAUACUUCAUAUGAACUCCAUGUAAGAUUGCUGCCAUUGGUCAGGGAUGAAUAAUAACCCUAACCUUUUCUUCCACAUAAGCUUUCAAGCAAUUAAUUUUUGAAAAGGUAUACAAGAGCUGACUUGAAUCAAAUAUGAACUAACGACCUCACAGAGAAAAUCUUUUUGGGCACCAGAGUCUGAAAAGGACAUAAAACUAUUACAGAGUGUCCAAAAGAAGGCUACAAAGAUGGUGAAGAGUCUAGAGGGCAAGGGGUGUGAGGAGUGCUGAGGUCUCUUGGUUUGUUCAGUCCAGAGCAGAGAAGGCUGAGGAGAGGCUGCAUGGCAGCCUAUGCGUUUCUCAGAAGCAGAAGUGGAGGGGCAGCGCUGAUCUCUUUCUGGUGACCAGAGACAGAACCCAAGGGAACAGCAUGGAGCUGUGAAACAGGAGGCUCAGGUUGGAUAUCAUGAAAAGGUUCUUCACCAGAGUGGUUGGGCACUGGAGCAGGCUCCCCAAGGAGGUGCUCAUGGCACCAAAGUGCUGAGUUCAGGAAGCAUGUGGAAGACACUUGCAGACAUAUGGUCUGACUUUCGGUUGGUGCUGUGUAGAGCCAAGAGCUGGACUUGAUGAUCCUUAUGGGUCCCUUCCAACUUGGAAUAUUCUAUGAUUCUGUAUGUUACACAGAAGAAUGUGAAUAGUUUAAUAUAUAAAGUCUCAAAGCACAAUCACACUCUUACCCUGUCAUGCCACUCACAACAAGAACUUGGUGGCUUGUCAGCAAAUCAAGAAUAGUUUCUCUCUCUUGCCAUGCAGGGAGCUUCUGCCUUUCAUGCAACAUGGACUGGAAGCGUCUAGAAGACUGAUACACAACACAAUUAAGAAAGUGGUAUUUGUGGUGUCCUAGAUUCAACAACAUUGGAUGCUAACAGUCCUUUUACCUUAAAGAGACAUCCUGCAUACAAUAAUCUACAUAUUUCUUUCCUUGCAUCAAGCUUUUCUAUUAAAUAGAGCAAAAGGGUAUUUUCUAAAAUAUCAAACUGAUUGUUUGGUUAUUCUCUGAAGUAUUUGAUGUAUCUUAGCAUGCAGAAGCAGUCUGAGCAACCUUCUACCAGGAUAUGCAAUCUGAUAGUCAGAUGAAAGCCCCCAGAUAAAAACUGCUAUUGAUUUUUCCCUUCUAACUGUCUGACAGUGGUGAAAGAGCUUUGCAAGAUUCCUUGCAGCUUGCUCAAAGGCAGCAGAAUCCUAUCAGAUGAACAGGCAGCUUCUGCACUGAGAACAAGAUGCAAUUUGUUUGCAAAAGACCAACACAAAUAAACAAAUCAAUCUAGCCUGCAUCUCUUCUGAAACAUUUUGCAUUGCAUAUUUCAUUCUCUUUCAGGGGGAGUACAUAACUGGUGGCAGACGUUAGAUGCGUUGUUUGCUGAUAUAAUGGAAGAUGAGCAACAUGGUAGUAAGAAAACAAAAGGAGUGAAACAGCAGCCCAUUGUUUUAAGUAUGUAUUUCUCUAAAGCACGCAUGAAAAGAGAUAUCCUGCUUUGUAUACUAUACCUUUUUCAGCCGAAACUGCAUACAGAUUUUAACGUUUUCAUUAUAUGUAGAUUUGGAGUGGACAUCAUACUUUCUAGAAAGCUUUUUCUUGAGGUUCACAUAACUCUCAUUCUCCACAAUGACUUGUUGGGGCUCAUCUUCCUCCUCUUCUUCUGCCACCUCUUCCUCUGGAGGCUCUGACACCGCUGAGGCUUGAAACAGAGAACAUACAUUUGGGUAUUAUCAAGGCAGAUAACUCCAUCGGCACAGUAGAGAGAUGCUUUCCAGUAGUGCUCUCAAUAAAGAACCUUGCUAAAUAGGAGAUGAAGACCUGUAGGACAGUUUUUGACAUGCACUCAGUUCAACACCACCAGCAAACCUCCCGUCAGACAAAGCACAACUUCUCCAGCUGCAUCCCACUUGUCACAACGUACCCCAGCUGUGCUCUGCACCACAGUCUGGUGGCCACAUGGCAAACCUGACCGGCUGCUCCAAAUCACCACAGAACUGCUGGUACGCAGCACAGGACUGGGAUGGCAACACUAGCCUGAACUGAUUAAAACUACACCGUAACAUCACGUGGUAGGCUACUGCCAAGGACUUUUAAGCCAACACUGAAACUGGAGUAGACACCCUCAAAAGUAUUAAGGCUGCAUUUAUCAAAGUUGAGUAUUUUGUAACACAAGGAAGUUUCUUUGAAAGCUCUGAUUUCAAUUUCUGGAACAAAGCUACCUUUCUGUGGAGCUGUGAAGAGUAGGAAUAAUCUGUUCUACUACAAUAAAACGAAACAACAAAAAACAGGCUGACACUAUUCAGGUGCUCCAAAUUAUGCUGCUAUUAUUCUUGCAAGCUCUCUUUAAGAAAGUUUGCCUUAGAAUUGGGAGUUGGAAGGUAAACUAAGCCAUGCAGUUGCUUGUCACCCUGCCAUAAAAGACCAGGGUCACAACUUUCCCCGUGAAAUAUAUCUAGCUGCAUGAGCUUGCAAAAGAAUUAAUAAAAAAAGGUACGUAGAGAACCAUUCUAGACUUGUCUGUAACACUGUGCACAAAAUCCAGCUUUACAAAAUUAGUGGUGAGGAAGGGUAGGUAAUUUUUUUUUCCCCCUAUAAAGGUGUUGCCGUGUUGAUGAGUAGCAGAUGUGCAAUAGCUCACCAAUAACCUUCCCCAUCACCUUCCAAACAUUCUUCUGAACACACACCAGGUCAGUUUCAAGUGAGCUCACACCACAUCUCUCCACGGCAUUUUGUCCACUAUGUUGCAACACAACGUGUUCACACUACCAAGCUGAAGACGUUAGCUGUGCACUCCUUUAACUCACUUGUAGCCAGCAGAAAACCCUUCCCCUGCAGCUUUACUAAGCGACUUCCUGAGGCACAGGCAGAAUAUGGAUCUGGCUCACCACAUGACCUUCAUCUCCAGAAAUAGAUUUGGAACAGAUGCCAUAAUUGUGCUCCCUGCCUUCUUUUUCUUUUUAAGCCCAGAAACCCUAGAUGAAAACGUGGUGUACCUUCUGAUAUUUGAUUUGAACCAGCCGCAGGCUCUGGAUGCAGCUUUACUGGACGUGCUGCCGGAUGGGAAGCAGGAGGAGCACUGUAUUUGUGGUGCGUGUUUUCAAGUAACUCGCCUAUUUCAGAUUCAUCUUCUAAGGAAGUCACUAACGCGUACACUACCGGUUCAUUAGACUCUGCAGCUAUCAAAGCCUUUCCAAAAAGGAAUUCAGCAAUGUGCAGACGACAGGCAAGAGGUAGAUUCUCAUCGGUGGUGUAAAAUGCCACAAGAGGUGCCUGGAGUGGAUACUUGUUUUCUUCAGGAAAUCUUACUUCAAGCUCAUAUAUGGGACCAUCUCUGUUAGAUCUGAGGUGAGAAUCAUCUACGGAGUUCUUGGCUGAUCUCAGUGGGUGGUUUGGAGGGAAUUCAUGUCUGAAUCUGCAUUUUGAACCGAAUUUGCAGCCUCCUUGGAGAUAAAAUUUACAGAUUUCUUUCGAAUUCUGCGUUGCUGUGUCCCUCGCACAACCACCCUUUUGUUUAGAUUUGCUGAGCCUGUUUGUUAGGUAUUCCAGUUCCAAACUAAACGUCCAAACUCUGUUUUGAAUUCUUUCUACAAAUUUUUCUCCGUAGAUUGACCGCAGGGCAAAAGCUUCUUCUUGCCUCUGUUCUAAACAUUCUUCUUGACUGGUCUGAGCAGCUGUUGCAGAAAUCUGCAUCUUUUCUCCGUAUCUCUCAGCAAAGCACUGCAAUAGCAAAUGCUCCAAAGAUGCCCCAAUGUUACCAUUGCAGGAUCUCAGGACAGUCCUACAACGCUCACUGUCAAAACCAUACCUACAGCAACACAGAGACCACAUGGCAACAAGUGAGUGACAGAGAAUGAAGUAAAACAACCACAGAUCUUCUUAACGAGGCUCACAGUAAGGAAUUGUAUACAGCAUGAUAUACUAUUGCUAUUGCCAGAAAAACAAAAGCCCCCAAAGGUCUGUUGUUUUUAAGGCCAUAGUUUAUGAAGCAACUGUCUCGUAUCUCAGAACACAGCACCUAGUAGUUAGAGGAUAUUGCCCACUAUAAAGCUCUUCAGAAAAAGCUGAGCCCUCUCGCAUAGAAAACACUCUCAAAGAAAUAAAACAGUUAAGAAAUGCUCAUAUCUAAGCAAAAUGGAUGACGAAAGCUUACAAAAUUAUACCUACCUAGAAUAAACAUAUAAUAGCAAUGCUGCCUGAGCUUUCCCAGUAUUUGUUUCAUUAUCUUAGAGAAAUAAUAGAAAAUUGUACUAUAAAAACGCUACAACUCUUUAUUUUCAUAAAAACAUUAUUUUAGAUUCAUUCACUUGAGGAUCAAACUUUGAGGAGAUACAAACUUAGAAGUUCUGAACAUAGACUCUCCCUGGAGUCUAUGGAGUGGAAUUCCAAGCACUGAGGGUUUACAGUAUUGAGACUAAUCAUUUACCUCUUCAGCAUACAAAUUAUUCACUGGAAAUAAUCACCUGGAGAGUUUAUGCACAGCAAAUGGAGACACUUCACUUUCCACAAUUUUGUGGGCAGCUGCCUCAGCAGAAGACCUUGGUGUCAUGUCAGAGACUUCCUGAUCUGCUGACCAGCACUGUUCAUCAUCGAGGUAAUCAGGUUCAUCGUCAUCUUCACCAGAACCAGC